UGAGAAUCCAUGGCUGAGCGAUGUCGGAGCUGCGUAGCGAAGCUCAUCGGGGCCGUCCACAAUCGAAUCUAAUUGUCGCACCCAACACUGCUGUGAGGACCAUAAGGAGGCAGAGAACGCCGGUGUGGAGCCGCAACUGGCCAUUCCUCAGGGCGAUGGUUUCACAGUUACCGCACGAGCGCACCAACACCACCAUGGCCAAGGAAAAGUAAGUGAGGCAUA
rnacentral:misc_RNA from 1 species